GACGAACGCUGGCGGCGUGCUUAACACAUGCAAGUCGAACGGAAAGGCCCUGCUUUUGUGGGGUGCUCGAGUGGCGAACGGGUGAGUAACACGUGAGUAACCUGCCCUUGACUUUGGGAUAACUUCAGGAAACUGGGGCUAAUACCGGAUAGGAGCUCCUGCUGCAUGGUGGGGGUUGGAAAGUUUCGGCGGUUGGGGAUGGACUCGCGGCUUAUCAGCUUGUUGGUGGGGUAGUGGCUUACCAAGGCUUUGACGGGUAGCCGGCCUGAGAGGGUGACCGGCCACAUUGGGACUGAGAUACGGCCCAGACUCCUACGUGAGGCAGCAGUGGGGAAUAUUGCACAAUGGGCGGAAGCCUGAUGCAGCAACGCCGCGUGCGGGAUGACGGCCUUCGGGCUGUAAACCGCUUUCGCCUGUGACGAAGCGUGAGUGACGGUAAUGGGUAAAGAAGCACCGGCUAACUACGUG
rnacentral:rRNA from 1 species